rnacentral:lncRNA from 1 species
CCUUCUCCAGCCCCUACCCCCUGGCCCGGUUCCUUUUCGCUUUUCCGAGGCUGGUGCGGCGCCGAGGUGCGAGCCGAGCUUUGAAAACUCCCCCGUGGCGCCCGACUGAGGUCGGAGCAUGCUCAGUA